CUGACUUUUUCCUAAUUGUUUCUCUUUCUCUUUCACCUCUUUCUUAAUGUUGUGUUGUGUUUUGUUUUGCUUUGCUUUGCUUUCUCCUCCUAUUUUUUUUCCUGUUGCUUUUUUUUUUGUUGUUGUUCCACUUUUAUAUUGGCCCAGCCAACCUCAUCUCCAAAGGGAAAGCCAUGAAGCAAGCCCUGGGGCUGCACUGACAGCAGCAGGUCAGGACACCUGCUGGGAGAACAGAGUCCAUUAACCUGAAGAUGGGUGACUGGUUUGUUCUCAGCUGUCCAGCUACUGGAUGAGAAGAAAGGCCAGUAAAAGAAAACAACUGCAGACGUUGGAUUAUCUAUUGAGCUGCCCUGGCCUUUCCCUGCUGCAGAACAGGUCUUCUACUGGUGCAGAAAGAGCUGGAGCUGCGCUUGCCUCUCCUCUCUAGGCAAAUCACCAAGAAAGGAGGAGAAUAAAAAGAAAUAAAGGAGGAGAAGGGAAGAGCGGCAGAUAAAAGGAGGGAAAAAUGAGAGGAAAAUGAAGACAAAAAAUGGAAGAGGAAGAAAGGAAGGAGGUAGUGAAGAGAAUAAAGGAGAGGUGAAGCAAGAAGACAAAAGAAGAAAAAUAAAAGGAAGAGAAAAAAUGGAAAAGACAAAAGAAAGCAAACAGAAGAAAGAAAAAUAAAAGAAAGAAUGAGAGAAGGAAGUAAAAAAUGUUGUGAGUACAGUAAGCAUGGCAAAAGAGAAGCAGGGCUUUUUGGAUGCAAAUAUGAAAAUAUCGAGGGAUUCAACACAAACAUCUCAUUACCCCAAAUUAAGUCAAUACAACUAUAAUAGAAGAAAGAUCAGAGAGAAUGGAAUUGUAGUUGCAAUAAUGCUGGAGCCACACAGAAAAAGGCUUUGAACAGGGGUACACAAAACCAGAAAAAAUAAAGAAGGAAAAAAAACCUCUCCCACACAUUAUUUGUUGUUUCUACUUCUGUUGGCUUCUUUCCUCGGGGGAAAAUAGAAAUACAAUACCAGACAUUUUAUAUACAUGUAUAUAUGUGUAGAGAGGAGAGUCUUCUAGCAAAUCUCUUUAAAAACAAAGGGUGCGGGGUAAGUGCGACCAAGGAGCAGCGUGGGGGAAGGUGUGGGGAUGCAUGCAGAUAGGGGGUUUUGGGCAGAGGGAGAGGUGUGGGGCUCUCCUGCCCACUGCAGCCCCGCAGCCGGCAGGC
ensembl:lncRNA